rnacentral:rRNA from 1 species
UACGUAGGGUGCAAGCGUUGUCCGGAAUUAUUGGGCGUAAAGAGCUCGUAGGCGGUUUGUCGCGUCGGCUGUGAAAGCCCAGGGCUUAACCCUGGGUCUGCGGUGGGUACGGGCAGACUAGAGUGUGGUAGGGGAGACUGGAAUUCCUGGUGUAGCGGUGAAAUGCGCAGAUAUCAGGAGGAACACCGAUGGCGAAGGCAGGUCUCUGGGCCACUACUGACGCUGAGAAGCGAAAGCAUGGGGAGCAAACAGG